AUGGAGAAAAAGCAGAGGAAGAAGAGGAAGAAGGGGGUUAUUUUCCAGAGAGGAGGAGGAGGAAGGGGGGGUUAUUUUGGAGCAUCUGUCUUCCCUUCCAUUUCCUCCUUUUCUUUCUCCAGCUGCCAUCAAGCUGCUCUCUCUGGCAGCAACUUCCUUUCUCCUUCGCUCGGAGCAGACGGAGACUUAUGGGGAAGUAGAAAACAGAGGCUGGGAGAGGGGAAACUGAGGCCAAACCACCAUCCGUCCGUCUGUCCGGCUGCGGCGGGGGCCAGGGCGCAUCACAUGCUUCCUGCCCCGGGAUCAGGAGGACAAAGUCGCUCUGGGAGGGAGGAAAACUCCAUGGGACAAUUCGGAUCCAACACCUCGGAGUCAGCCAAGAACGGCCCAAAACGGCCCAAAUCCGUCCCCGCUUCAGGGGAGGAUCAGUCAGGGUUGGGAGGUUUUACACCCAGCCCUUGCCCCGGGACGGCUCUGGCCUCUCCAAAGGGAUUAUUCUUUCCAGGAAUCGAGGGAUUUCAUCCUCUGGAGCGCAGGGGUGGGAGGAGGGAUGGGCGAUGCUCGAAGCCAAGUGCUGCCAUGGGGCACCCGGCCCUCCCUGGCCGUGACAGCCCCACGGGGGUGGCUCCGGUGCCUCCUCCCAGCUCCCGUUAUCCAGCACCCGCCGGACACUGCGCUCUCGCAUUUCCCUUGGAUCUGGGGGGAAAUCGCCCUUUCCCCGUGUUUUAUCCACCUGGGAAAGCUGAGGCACAUCCAGGGGCUGCCGGGGGCAGCUCCGGGCUCUGCCCGUCCCGCAGCUCCCGCCCCUCGCGGCUCCCCAAACCCUCCUUUCCCGCCGGGGCUCCCGGUGACACCGGGGAGGGGACACACACGGAUGAUUCCCGGGGUGAGGAACGAGAGGCUUCGCCCCUCAGUGCAAGCACAAAACGGGCCGGUACCGAGCGCUCCCGGCCCCACGGACCGGGGAAGAUGGGAGGAACCGGGAGGUACCGGGAGGUACCCGGGGAACCAGCCCUUACCUGCAGCCUGCCUCGGGGAGAGCGGCGCCGGGACCGGGACCGGGGCUGCUCCGGUGCCCCCGGUGGGGCGGGACGGGGCGGGGCGGGAGGAGCGGGACGGGGCGGGAGGAGGGUCCCGUUUCCCUCGGCGCCUCUCCCUGCCUGGCGGGCCCCCGCAGCCACUACCAGUGCCCGGUGUCCUAUGUCUGGUGCCAGUUCCCGGUGUCCGGUGCCCGGUUCCCGAUGUCGGUUCCCAGUUCCCGGUGUCCGGUUCCCGGCUCUCAGUGCCCGGCUCCCGGGGCCGGUUCCCGGCUCUCAGUGCUCGGUUCCCGGUGCCGGUUCCCGGCUCUCAGUGCCCGGUUCCCGGUGCCGGUUCCCGGCUCCCAGUGCCCGGUUCCCGGUGCCGGUUCCCGGCUCCCAGUGCCCGGUUCCCGGUGCCGGUUCCCGGCGGGUCGGGGCCUCCCGCCCGCGGCCGCUGCCAAGUCCCGCGCGGGGCCGGGAGCGGCGGGGGCGGGGCUGGGGGCGUGUCCAUCGGGCAGCGCCAUCCAAUGGCGGAGCGGGG
ensembl:lncRNA